CAUCAUAGGCCUCUUCCAUACGUGGGGCAAUUCUUACCCUUGAAUCUAAAACCUUCUCCCACCAGAGCCUCCUCCAUAACCCCCACCAGAGCCUCCUCCAUAACCACCUAUAAAAGAACCGUGAUUGAGACAUCUGACAUCUCAGAACAUUUCAGCGUGGAAUGGAAAUGGUUUGAAUUCGAAUGUACUUAUUCAAUAACACUGCAAUGUUCACUCACCGCCAUAUGGGCCACCACCACCACCACCGCUCCUUCCACCACUUCCGUAGUUUCCUCCCUUCAUUGGGCCGUAGUUAGAGGGAGAUUGAUUGUUGUAGUUGCCAAAGUCGUUGUAGCCUCCGCCACCUCCAAAGUUGCCUCCACCACCAUUGUUGUAGUUAUCAUAGCCACCGCCGCCACCACCAUAGCCUCCACCCUGGUUUCCAUAGCCGCCGCCACCACCUCCGCUGCCUCCUCCAUAACCACGGUUGCCACCAUAAUUAGGUCCACCUCCACCAUAACCACCUGAUAAAGAGAUUAGAGAUAAACAUUAUCAUGGAAACACUGUUUAACGGUCAAAUGCAAUGUGAAUCAUAUUCUUAAAAUCUUUAUAUACCAUUCCCUCCGUAGCCAUUAUAUCCAUCGCCUCCACCGUAACCACCUCUUCCUCCUCCAUAUCCACCUACAAAAGGAAAGACAUUUCAAAAUUAAUAACUCACAAGAAACACUGUGGACCAGUAGUUCUCAAAAAGGUGGAUCUGUGUGUUAUCGAAUUUUUCCUUACAUCCCAAAUAAUCAUUUCCAAUUAUUCCAUGAUGAAACAUGCACAGUACAAAGUGAAAUGAAGUAGGAUUAAUCUAACCACUUUGGGUUUGAUACAAUUACGCACAUUUGAGGAUAUCUGCAUAAUUUGUAAAUUUUGUGUUUAGUAAGGUACAGACUUUGAGAAUAUCUGCGAUAGAGCACUACAAACUAUAAAACAGAAAUAAGAACAUAUGCAAAACUGUACCUCCAUAUCCUCCACCUCUGCCAAAGUUUCCACCACCACCACCACCACCUCCUCCUCCUCCUCGUCCGCCUAUAAGAUGAGUUUAAUGAAAAAGUUAAUUUAGUUCAGGUCUUUUGGAUAAAUCAAAGAGCUAUGCAACAAAUCAAGACAGCUAAAAUAAAAAUGAUGCUGUGGCACA
ensembl:lncRNA